rnacentral:tRNA from 1 species
AGUCCUUUGGUGUAGUGGUAUCACAUCUCCUUUACAAUGUGAAAUUUCGGAGAAGGUCAUGGGUUCGAAACCCAUAGGGACUA